CAAUAGCGUAUAUUAAAGUUGUUGCGGUUAAAAAGCUCGUAGUUGGAUUUCUGCUGAGGACAGCCGGCCCGCCCUCUGGGUGAGCAUCUGGUUUGGCUUUGGCAUCUUUCUGGGCAACGCAGCUGCACUUGACUGUGUGGUGCGGGGCCCAGGACUUUUACUUUGAGGAAAUUAGAGUGUUUCAAGCAGGCUUGCGCCUUGAAUACAUUAGCAUGGAAUAAUAAGACAGGACUUCGGUUCUAUUUUGUUGGUUUCUAGAGCUGAAGUAAUGAUUAAUAGGGAUAGUUGGGGGCAUUCGUAUUUAACUGUCAGAGGUGAAAUUCUUGGAUUUGUUAAAGACGGACGACUGCGAAAGCAUUUGCCAAGGAUGUUUNCUUUG
rnacentral:rRNA from 1 species